AUGGGAAAGGCGAGUCUCGGGAUGCACCGUCAGCGAGCUCCGGUUCCGCCAUGCCGUCUCCUCCAAGAGCGUGAUGCCAAAACCUGUACGCCGCGAUGGGAAAGGCGGGUUUCGGGCAGCCUCGUCAGCGCGCUCCGAUUCCGCCACGCCGUCUCCUCCAAGGGUGUGACGCAAAACCUGUACGCCGGUGUACCCUUUGCCAUGAACAUGUUCACCGUGGCUCUGUUCGUCGCCAUUUGUGUGUCGCGACCUGUACAUCAGGGGGUGUUCACCGAGCGCCAUGAAAGCCGCCACGGUAGGGCAUCGGGGCUAGCGGUUGGGCUGCGUCGUUGGCGAGCUCCGGCUGCUCCCAAGUCAUCUCCAGCCAAGAAUAUAACACCUGAAAGAGAAAGACUUCGCGUAGACAAACUCCGAUGGUGUCGAGGCAGUUUUCUGUACCGAUGA
rnacentral:rRNA from 1 species